rnacentral:rRNA from 1 species
GACGAACGCUGGCGGCGUGCCUAAUACAUGCAAGUCGAACGAAGCUUUUUUAACUGGUGCUUGCACCGACUUAAACAACUGAGUGGCGAACGGGUGAGUAACACGUGGGUAACCUGCCCCAAUGCGGGGGAUAACAUUUGGAAACAGAUGCUAAUACCGCAUAACCACAUGGUUUCUGUGUCAAAGAUGGUUUCGGCUAUCACUUUGGGAUGGCCCCGCGGCGUAUUAGCUAGUUGGUAAGGUAAUGGCUUACCAAGGCAAUGAUACGUAGCCGAACUGUGAGGUUGAUCGGCCACAUUGGGACUGAGACACGGCACAAACUCCUACGGGAGGCAGCAGUAGGGAAUCUUCCACAAUGGACGAAAGUCUGAUGGAGCAACGCCGCGUGAGUGAAGAAGGUUUUCGGAUCGUAAAACUCUGUUGUCAGAGAAGAGCGUGUGCGAGAGUAACUGUUCGUGCAGUGACGGUAUCUGGCCAGAAAGCCACGGCUAACUACGUGCCAGCCGCCGCCGUAA